UUAUCAAAAUAUAUUCUGCUGCUUAAGUUUGAAUGAAAACUAUUUUAUUUCAUUAAUUUCCAAAUGUAGCAUCAAUAUUUAGAAAAAAAUUGAGGCUCCUUAAUUUGGAAGUUAGAUUUCUGGCAGUUCAAAUUUCUGGACAAAGCUGUGAGUCAGUCUUCAAACAUCUUCAUGUUCAUACCUUUAGAACAUUCAGUGCUGAUGAUUCAAAGUCACCAACAAAAUUUUCUUUCUUCUUGCAUCUUGAUUUACCAAGAAAUGCAGUUGACAUUUGAGCAAAGACAUGAAUGUGCUAAGACGGUGAAUCAUGAAGAUGCUUGCAGAGAGCGUAUUACAGAAGGGAAUAUCAAAGACAAAGAAAUAAGACUGAAGUUACAAGAAGCAAGGCUGAUGGUGCUGCUACAAGGACGGAGUGAUGGGAUGUGCAGGAAAUAAAGAUGCAUAGCUGGAAA